rnacentral:rRNA from 1 species
ACGAACGCUGGCGGCGUGCCUAACACAUGCAAGUCAACUUGACUGAAGGGAGCAAUCUGACAGUAGAGUGGCGCAAGGGUGCGUAACGCGUAAGUAACUUGCCCCAAGGUAGGAAUAACGUCGAGAAAUCGGCGCUAAUACCUCAUAAUGCAGCGGAUCCGCAUGGAUAUGUUGUUAAAGGUUUACCGCCUUGGGAUAGGCUUGCGUCUGAUUAGUUAGUUGGUGUGGUAACGGCACACCAAGGCUACGAUCAGUAACUGGUCUGAGAGGAUGAUCAGUCACACUGGAACUGAGACACGGUCCAGACUCCUACGGGAGGCAGCAGUGAGGAAUAUUGGGCAAUGCUCGAAAGAGUGACCCAGCAACGCCGCGUGGAGGAUGAAGGUAUUCUAUAUCGUAAACUCCUGUGAGAGCAGACGAAAGACAGAUUAUUAAUCUGGAUGACUGUAUGCUCAGAGGAAGCCCCGGCUAACUACGUG